GGAACCAGCCAAUGCAACCGACAACUGCUGUAGUGAUGUCAACAUAACUACUAACUACACUAGCGGAAAUUCUCUCUCAAUUGGUGUAUACACAGUAGGAUAUGCAGCAACAGAUUGUAAUGGGAAUGUUGGUUACUGUCAAUUUACUGUUGAAGUUAAAGAUUGUGAGCCUCCAGACCUUCAAUGUCCACCUAGCCAAAACGUAACAGGUAACGAUAACUGCUGGGCAAAUGUCACAUGGACAGCACCCUAUGUUACAGACAACUCUGGAGACUCUUUCACACCAGUAUGUGAUUAUAUUGGAAGCACAUUUUAUGAUGUCAGCACUGUUGUAACAUGUAAUGCCACUGACAAUUAUAAUAACACUGGCAAUUGUAACUUUACCAUUGCUAUUUACGAUGAGACAGCCCCUAAUGUGACUUGCCCAGUUG